GGCAACUAUCCCUAUGGCUUGCCUUAUGGAUCAUCACAUGAGUCUUCGAAAUCA
rnacentral:sRNA from 1 species